rnacentral:miRNA from 1 species
AUAUAUAUAUAUAUCUCUCUCUCUCUCUCUCUCUCUCUCUCUCUCUAUAUAUAUAUAUAUAUAUAUAUAUAUAUAUAUAGAGAGAGAGAGAGAGAGAGAGAGAGAGAGAGAGAGAAAAUUGAUGGAAAUG